rnacentral:rRNA from 1 species
UACGGAGGGUGCAAGCAUUAAUCGGAUUUAUUGGGCGUAAAGGGCGCGUAGGCGGACCUGCAAGUCAGAUGUGAAAUCCUGAGGCUCAACCUCAGAACAGCAUUUGAAACUCCAGGUCUAGAGGGUAGGCGGAGAAAACGGAAUUCCACAAGUAGCGGUGAAAUGCGUAGAUAUGUGGAAGAACAUCGGUGGCGAAGGCGGUUUUCUAGCUUAUUCCUGACGCUGAGGCGCGAAAGCAAGGGGAUCAAACAGG